CCUACGGGAGGCAGCAGUCGAGAAUCAUUCACAAUGGGGGAAACCCUGAUGGUGCGACGCCGCGUGGGGGAAUGAAGGUCUUCGGAUUGUAAACCCCUGUCAUGUGGGAGCAAAUUAAAAAGAUAGUACCACAAGAGGAAGAGACGGCUAACUCUGUGCCAGCAGCCGCGGUAAUACAGAGGUCUCAAGCGUUGUUCGGAAUCACUGGGCGUAAAGCGUGCGUAGGCUGUUGCGUAAGUCGUGUGUGAAAGGCGCGGGCUCAACCCGCGGACGGCACAUGAUACUGCGAGACUAGAGUAAGGGAGGGGGAACCGGAAUUCUCGGUGUAGCAGUGAAAUGCGUAGAUAUCGAGAGGAACACUCGUGGCGAAGGCGGGUUCCUGGACAUUAACUGACGCUGAGGCACGAAGGCCAGGGGAGCGAAAGGGAUUAGAUACCCGUGUAGUC
rnacentral:rRNA from 1 species